CAGACUGGUUCAGGUCUACAGAAAGUCUCAGACAGGUUCAGGUCUACAGAGAGUCUCAGACUGGUUCAGGUCUACAGAGAGUCUCAGACUGGUUCAGAGUCUCAGACAGGUUCAGGUCUACAGAGAGCUGCUGCUGUUGAAGAUGAUGAUGAUGAUGAAGAUGAUGCUGGUCCUGGUCCUCUCCUGUGUCCUCUGUGUCUCAGCUGACGUUCUACAUGAAGACCUUGGUAUCAGUGGCUGUUCUUCCUCUGAUGGAGAGUUCAUGUACACUCUGGACGGUGAAGAGGUUUGGUACGCAGACUUCAUCAAUCAGAGAGGAGUGGAGCCUCAGCCCAGCUUCAUCGAUCAUAUGACUUAUCCAGGAGGUUAUGAAAGUGCUGUGGCUAAUCUACAGGUCUGCAAACAGAACCUGAAGGUGAUCAGUGAAGCCUACAAGACCCCUCCUCAGGAACAGGAUCCUCCCUCCAGCCCGAUCGUCUACCCCAGAGACGAUGUGGAGCUGGGACAGAAGAACACCCUCAUCUGUCAUGUGACGGGUUUCUAUCCUGCUCCUGUAAAGAUCUCCUGGACAAAGAACGGACAGAAGGUGACUGAAGGAACCAGCAUCAAUGUUCCCUACCCCAACAAAGACAUUUCCUUCAGCCAGGCCUCCAGACUGGACUUCAUCCCACAGCAGGGAGACAUUUACAGCUGUACAGUGGAACAUCUGGCCCUGGACGAACCACUGACCAGAAUCUGGGAUGUGGAGGUGAAGCAGCCUGGUAUUGGACCUGCAGUGUUCUGUGGACUUGGUCUGACUGUUGGUCUGCUCGGUGUGGCUGCUGGAACCUUCUUCCUCAUCAAAGGAAACGAGUGCAGCUGAUUGGUCGGGGCUGAUGAUGUCAUGGGAUGGUCUUUUCCAAAGAAUGAGGUUUUCUGAGUCAUCUGGAUCACUUGUCUGAGUGAGACCUAGAACAGAUAAGGGUCUAUGUGAGCUGCAUUGUGUCCCAGCUGUGUCUUUCUUUAACUGCUGCAGCUUCUGCUCUGUUCUCUCUGCAGGAUUUCAUUUACAGCAACAUGAUGUUCGGUCGAGAAAUCGUCUCUGAAUGUUGUCUCAGCCACGUGUGACGUGUCCUCCAGAUCAUAACUGAUGAUUGUAUGAAUUCACAGUAACAAAGAAAUAAACUGAAUGAUGAAGUU